AUUGGGCGGUGGCGUGUCCCAUGGAAACGGAAUCCAGAACUGCAGCCAGGGGUUUGCACGGGGGCGGAGCCGGGUCUUCCCCAGGCGCCUGCGCCUAACCCGUCCCCGGCGCCAUUUUGUCCCGGCAGCAGCGUCCGCAGCUCUUUCCCAUUUUCGGCGUCUAAAGGCAAGGAAGCGGACUGAGGCUGAGUUGUGCUGAAGAAAACAAGACACCUCAGUGACAACCCCAAGUAUCACAGAGUAACACUGGCUUUUGUGGGGAGAACCAAGUUGCUGUGGCUCUAGAAGACCUAGGAUUUAUUGCUUGUGCUGAAAAGUUCUGGUUCUGGUUUGUAAUUUUACUUCAUCCUUAAGUGAAUGAGAUUGGCCUUGUUAUAUGUGUAUGCACACACAUAUUUGUGUACCUUUUUGGAAAGCAGUUUAAUUGCAGAA